AUUGAACGCUGGCGGCAGGCCUAACACAUGCAAGUCGAACGAGUGGCGGACGGGUGCGUCAUGUCUGGGACCCUGCCUGAUGGAGGGGGAUCACUACUGGAAACUGUAUCUAAUACCGCAUACCCUCAGAUGUGCCCCGUUGGGAUUAGCUUGUGGGUGGGGUAACGGCUCACCAAGGCGACGAUCCCUAGCUGGUCUGAGAGGAUGACCAGCCACACUGGAACUGAGACACGGUCCAGACUCCGACGGGAGGCAGCAGUGGGGAAUAUUGCACAAUGGGAGCAAGCCUGAUGCAGCCAUGCCGCGGGUAUGAAGAAGGCCUUCGGGUUGUAAAGUACUUUCAGCGGGGAGGCGUUACCCGCAGAAGAAGCACCGGCUAACUCCGUGCCAGCCGCCGCGGUAAUUC
rnacentral:rRNA from 1 species